GAUGAACGCUGGCGGCGUGCCUAAUACAUGCAAGUCGAGCGAACGGACGAGAAGCUUGCUUCUCUGAUGUUAGCGGCGGACGGGUGAGUAACACGUGGAUAACCUACCUAUAAGACUGGGAUAACUUCGGGAAACCGGAGCUAAUACCGGAUAAUAUUUUGAACAGCAUGGUUCAAAAGUGAAAGACGGUCUUUCUGUCACUUAUAGAUGGAUCCGCGCUGCAUUAGCUAGUUGGUAAGGUAACGGCUUACCAAGGCAACGAUGCAUAGCCGACCUGAGAGGGUGAUCGGCCACACUGGAACUGAGACACGGUACAGACUCCUACGGGAGGCAGCAGUAGGGAAUCUUCCGCAAUGGGCGAAAGCCUGACGGAGCAACGCCGCGUGAGUGAUGAAGGUCUUCGGAUCGUAAAACUCUGUUAUUAGGGAAGAACAUAUGUGUAAGUAACUGUGCACAUCUUGACGGUACCUAAUCAGAAAGCCACGGCUAACUACGUG
rnacentral:rRNA from 1 species